UCAAGCAGUUAAAAUAACUGGGAUGCAAUUCAACAUAUUAUCAUUUUUACUCAUUAUAUACACACAUAAAAAACAAAAAAAACAUAAUUCGCCUGUCUGUGUAUUAAGUAAGAAAAGUAAAUGUGCAAUAAAAUGUGGCCUAUCAAAUGUAUGCAAAAUAGCAGCCAACUGCAUGAAUACAGAUUUAUCAAUAAAGUACUAGGUGCUGCUGUAAUUUAAUACCAAUAUCCAACAAACAAAGAGGUGGCUUUACCGUUGGAAAUGGCAAAGAUACUCAAAACAAAAACCCAAACAGCAUGGACUCAGUGCACUUUACAGAGUUGAUCACUUGGUCACUGUCCAUUUAUAUUGCACGUAUAGCCACAUUAACAGACAGCCACAGGCAGGUAAAGUUCUCAAUGUGACACCAAGUCGAUGGGGAAAUCUGUGGUUCGGUUAGUUCUGAAAUGUGCGCUAAGACUUCACACUGAAACAAAUGACAUGCAGAAUUUCAGAAGGAGGCUACAACAGGAAAUGCAGCCUCUACUUCCACAAUGUCUUACCAGGCAACUGUUUUACCUCCUGACCGGAAGCAUUUAGAGACCUACAGUAGGUGUACAGCACAGAGUCACAGAGGCACCAGAAUGGGUUAGCAUGGAUUAGCAUGCAAGCUGUGUGUCUAGAGGGCGAUCGUCUUCAGGACUCGGAUGCACGUGGAGCGCCGACCUCUACAGGAGUGCCGGGGUGAGGGAGGCUCCGUGUGCCACUCCUCCACACGUCCACCUCAGGAUGGCGUGAAACAUAGAUGUGUCAUUAUUUUGUGGAUAAAUUCUUAACAAAUGCAAAAAAAAAAAGGACAGUAAAUUUAACAAGCCAAUACAGUUUCAGUUCUUUUUUUUUAACCACUGGUUCUCAACCUUGGAGUUGCCCGAGAUGUGGAUGGAGUCAUAGGAGAAUUUUAACAACCGUUAUUUAUAAUGUAGUUGUAAGUACCUGAAUGUAAUUUAAGGAAAAUUUAAAAAUAAUAAUUAAAAAGUAAGAUUACAAUUCAAAUUUAAUUAGUCUCCAUUCAAUUUUGAGCACCUCUUAUGCCCAUAUUACCGCAGCGUCAGAAACGUGGUCAUGUUAAUCAAAGUGCCAUUUAUAUAGUACUGGCAGCAUGCUAAUUUAAAACUAGAAUUGACUUUUUCCAAAGAAAAUGUGAAUGGUGCUUGCUAGUGCAAAAUUCGACACCGG
ensembl:lncRNA